rnacentral:rRNA from 1 species
UCAGGACGAACGCUGGCGGCGUGCUUAACACAUGCAAGUCGAACGGUGAAGCCUUCGGGUGGAUCAGUGGCGAACGGGUGAGUAACACGUGGGCAAUCUGCCCUGCACUCUGGGACAAGCCCUGGAAACGGGGUCUAAUACCGGAUAAUACCUUCUCCUGCAUGGGGGUGGGUUGAAAGCUCCGGCGGUGCAGGAUGAGCCCGCGGCCUAUCAGCUUGUUGGUGGGGUAAUGGCCUACCAAGGCGACGACGGGUAGCCGGCCUGAGAGGGCGACCGGCCACACUGGGACUGAGACACGGCCCAGACUCCUACGGGAGGCAGCAGUGGGGAAUAUUGCACAAUGGGCGAAAGCCUGAUGCAGCGACGCCGCGUGAGGGAUGACGGCCUUCGGGUUGUAAACCUCUUUCAGCAGGGAAGAAGCGCAAGUGACGGUACCUGCAGAAGAAGCACCGGCUAACUACGUGCCAGCAGCCGCGGUAAUACGUAGGGUGCGAGCGUUGUCCGGAAUUAUUGGGCGUAAAGAGCUCGUAGGCGGUCUGUCGCGUCGGAUGUGAAAGCCCGGGGCUUAACCCCGGGUCUGCAUUCGAUACGGGCAGACUAGAGUGUGGUAGGGGAGAUCGGAAUUCCUGGUGUAGCGGUGAAAUGCGCAGAUAUCAGGAGGAACACCGGUGGCGAAGGCGGAUCUCUGGGCCAUACUGAC